GUGAAGAACGUAGCGAAAUGCGAUACGUAAUGUGAAUUGCAGAAUUCAGUGAAUCAUCGAAUCUUUGAACGCAUAUUGCGCUCUUUGGUAUUCCGAAGAGCAUGCUUGUUUGAGUAUCAGUAAACACCUCAAAGCUUUUGGAUUUUUUAAUCGAAAAGCUUUGGACUUGAGCAAUCCCAACACCAAUCUUUUUGAGAUCGGUGGCGGGUUGCUUGAAAUGCAGGUGCAGCUGGACAUUCUCCUGAGCUAAAAGCAUAUUCAUUUAGUCCCGUCAAACGGAUUAUUACUUUUGCUGCAGCUAACAUAAAGGGAGUUUGACCGUAUUGGCUGACUGAUGCAGGAUUUCACAAGGGUCGGCAACGAUUCUUGUUAAACUCGAUCUCAAAUCAAGUAAGACUACCCGCUGAACUUAAGCAUACAAUAAGCGGAGGA
rnacentral:misc_RNA from 1 species